rnacentral:rRNA from 1 species
CCUACGGGCCGCAGCAGUGGGGAAUAUUGGACAAUGGGCGCAAGCCUGAUCCAGCCAUGCCGCGUGAGUGAUGAAGGCCUUAGGGUUGUAAAGCUCUUUCACCGGAGCAGAUAAUGACGGUAUCCGGAGAAGAAGCCCUGGCUAGCUUCGUGCCAGCAGCCGCGGUAAUACGGAGGGGGCUAGCGUUGUUCGGAAUUACUGGGCGUAAAGCGCACGUAGGCGGAUAUUUAAGUCAGGGGUGAAAUCCCAGAGCUCAACUCUGGAACUGCCUUUGAUACUGGGUAUCUUGAGUAUGGAAGAGGUAAGUGGAAUUCCGAGUGUAGAGGUGAAAUUCGUAGAUAUUCGGAGGAACACCAGUGGCGAAGGCGGCUUACUGGUCCAUUACUGACGCUGAGGUGCGAAAGCGUGGGGAGCAAACAGGAUUAGAUACCCUCGUAGUC